rnacentral:rRNA from 1 species
GUGUCAGCCGCCGCGGUAACAUGUAGGGGGCAAGCGUUGUUCGGAAUUAUUGGGCGUAAAGGGCAUGUAGGCGGUUUCAUAAGUCCGGCGUGAAAUGGUAAGGCUCAACCUUAUCCUGCGCCGGAAACUGCGAGACUAGAAUCACUGAGGGGGAAUCAGAAUUCCAGGUGUAGGGGUGAAAUCUGUAGAUAUCUGGAAGAAUACCAGUGGCGAAGGCGGAUUCCUGGCAGAUGAUUGACGCUGAGGUGCGAAAGCGUGGGGAGCAAACAGGAUUAGAUACCCUUGUAGUCC